rnacentral:tRNA from 1 species
GCCGAAGUGGCGGAACUGGUAGACGCGCAUGAUUCAGGUUCAUGUGGGCUACGCCUGUGGGGGUUCGACUCCCCCCUUCGGCACCA